AGAGUUUGAUCAUGGCUCAGGAUGAACGCUAGCGGCAGGCUUAAUACAUGCAAGUCGAGGGGCAGCACAGGUAGCAAUACUGGGUGGCGACCGGCAAACGGGUGCGGAACACGUACGCAACCUUCCUUUAAGCGGGGGAUAGCCCAGGGAAACUUGGAUUAAAACCCCAUAAGAAUGUGGAGUGGCAUCACUCAGCAUUU
rnacentral:rRNA from 1 species